CAAAUUAUUUAAUAUUUUUUAAAUUUUAAUGAAAUUGAGAAUUGUGAGCCAAAUAUAUAUACAUAGAGAUAGAGGGAGAAGAAGAGGAUCAAAGAGAAUUUUGAAAGUGGGUCCGUACUCCGUAGUCACCGACAAUGAGGGAAUUGAGAUGAAGCGUGGAGUGUUGUGAUUCAAGUAUUAAUAAAAAAAAAAACUCCACCCAUUGGGAAAAUGGACUUUGACGGCCUGCCGACUGGGGCUGAGCUGUACUUGUUCUGUAUAAUUUAAGGAUAGUAAUGAGAAAUAUAUAGGUUGGAUCUAUUUUAUGUUAAAUUU
rnacentral:lncRNA from 1 species